rnacentral:rRNA from 1 species
GGGUAGAGCACUGUUUCGGCUAGGGGGCCAUCCCGGCUUACCAACCCGAUGCAAACUGCGAAUACCGGAGAAUGUUAUCACGGGAGACACACGGCGGGUGCUAACGUCCGUCGUGAAGAGGGAAACAACCCAGACCGCCAGCUAAGGUCCCAAAGUCAUGGUUAAGUGGGAAACGAUGUGGGAAGGCCCAGACAGCCAGGAUGUUGGCUUAGAAGCAGCCAUCAUUUAAAGAAAGCGUAAUAGCUCACUGGUCGAGUCGGCCUGCGCGGAAGAUGUAACGGGGCUAAACCAUGCACCGAAGCUGCGGCAGCGACACUCAGGUGUUGUUGGGUAGGGGAGCGUUCUGUAAGCCUGCGAAGGUGGCCUGUGAGGGUUGCUGGAGGUAUCAGAAGUGCGAAUGCUGACAUAAGUAACGAUAAAGCGGGUGAAAAGCCCGCUCGCCGGAAGACCAAGGGUUCCUGUCCAACGUUAAUCGGGGCAGGGUGAGUCGACCCCUAAGGCGAGGCCGAAAGGCGUAGUCGAUGGGAAACGGGUUAAUAUUCCCGUACUUGGUGUUACUGCGAAGGGGGGACGGAGAAGGCUAUGUUGGCCGGGCGACGGUUGUCCCGGUUUAAGCGUGUAGGUGUGUGUUCCAGGUAAAUCCGGUUCACUUUAACACUGAGGCGUGAUGACGAGGCACUACGGUGCUGAAGCAACAAAUGCCCUGCUUCCAGGAAAAGCCUCUAAGCAUCAGGUAACAUCAAAUCGUACCCCAAACCGACACAGGUGGUCAGGUAGAGAAU